rnacentral:piRNA from 1 species
UGCUUCUGAAGAUAGAGCCACGGUGAGGGU